AGCAUUUCAUAGUUAAAAGUUUAGCUGGUCUCUGUUUCUUACACUAGCCUUACAUUUUCUCCCUGUUUCCAGUGUCGCCUGUAUUCCACAGGAAAGAUAAAGUAUAUCAGCAUAGACAAAAUUGUAGCAUGUAUUAUAGAUUUAUUUUGAAUCUGCCUGCCAUGAAGCUUGUCUGUACUAAUGUUCCCACCUAGGACAGCAAUGCUAACAAAUAUUAACUUUUUUAUCACCUCUAAAAGCUGUCAGAUUUUUUGGUGAGUGAUACGCAUACAUGUAAAAACCACACUCCCUGCCCAACAUGGUGCCUAAAUAGAACAAGAAGCAAACAAAAAGGGGUGGGGAAGAGAGUACAAACAUGUCUAUUUUUAGACAAGAAUCAAUAGAUGGGUUUGGUAUAUUUUUCAGGAUUAGGUUUGUGGUUACUUUUUGUUGUGUGGUUUUCGUUUCUUUUACAGGUACGUAGUUUUGACUUGAGAUGUACCUUUGUUUAGAACCAGUUCGGUGCCCUCAGAGCAGUGAGAUGUCCAGACAAAAAGGAAUUUCAUCCAGUCCUUCUUUUGAGGAAAACUUAACAGAAAAGGAACAGAGUACAGCCGUACAACAGAUCUCAUGCUGAAUGUCAGUUAGGAACAUCAUGUUCUGGGAAGAGGGCUAACAUGAAACUGGGGUGUGUAAGCAGAAUGUUGGCUGCAAGAUGUGAAGAGCCUGAUGACUUUGAUGAGCUUGUGGUGAGUAACAAUGAUGUUGUGCUCAGAAAUAUCGCUGAAGACUUACGGAAUCAUUUACCCAUCGAGGCAAUGUUUGAUUCAGAACAUCAAGCUAUCCAGAAAAUACACCAGCAUCCACUGCCCAUGAUUCACGUUGAUGCAUUCCUUUAUGAUGAUGAUUUUGUUGAUUCAUUGUGUGAGGAGGGGAAAAUGAGUAGGAGCUACUGCACAGAGUGUGGCUCAUACAAGACUGCAUCUUUAGAGUUUAUUUCGCAUUCCUUUUCCCUCAUGGAACUGAAGUUUCUUUAUCAACAUGUACUGCCUGACCUGACAGGAAAGGUAGUGGUUGACGUUGGCUCCAGGCUUGGUGCAGUGCUAUUUGCGGGUUAUCUUUAUAGCUCAGCAUCCCAACUGUAUGGAGUAGAAAUGAAUGCAGACUUUUGCCAGUUGCAAGAAAUGAUGAUUACAAAAUACCAGUUCAUUGACAGAAUAAAGGUGGUUCACGCAGACAUCUGUACUCAGGCUUCACUUCUUCAGAAGGCUGAUGUUGUUGUAAUGAAUAAUGUCUUUGAAUAUUUUCUUGACAGACAGGAACAGGCCAGAGCUUGGGAAUUUAUUGCUUGUAAUGUAAGGAAAAGAGGGUCCUUAUUAGUGACAGUUCCGAGCCUUAAAGAAUCGCUCUCAAAGCUCCAGACAGAUAUACAGGUCAACCAAUGGGUCGAAGAGGUGCGGCUAAACUAUGAUGUGUACAUGGAAAAGGAUGUUGACAGAGAAGCACUUGAACAAAUACAUUUAUACAAGAUUCUCUAGUACCUAGAAAAAUAUACUAGUAUCCUUGUAAUAUCAUACAUUUUGGAUCUAAAAUGAAUUUGGAUUGAUUUGUGUGAAUAAAUCAGGUCAAAAUUCUUAUUGUGAUUAAUUUGGGUCAUAUUUAUGGUUUGUAAUGAAAAAGAGUCUUUUGAAACAGGUUUUGUUACGGGGGCAUUCUGUCUCAACAGAAUAUAUUGACUUUUAACUAAGAAAUGUCCUUAUAGUUUAAUUUUUGCAGAAAUAUUAGAAAAAGUGGCUGUUGCUAAAAGAAUUUUUGUUCACUAGCAUUGUGCAUUGCUCAUGUUUGCUAAAUAUAUCAAACCUAAGAAUAGCAAAUCAUUAUUAAUGUGAAUGAUAAGAAUGCGUUUAGCAUAAUGUUACUUAAAAGCUGCAGUACGUUGGAGUUUGCUGUUUUGGUUUGGUAUAGACCAUUUAUUAUUAUCAGUAGUAAUACUUACUAUUAACAGUAUUAUCUUUAAUGUUCUCCUAUGGAAUUUGUAGGUUUUCUUUCCAGGGUCUUCUUGAUAACCAGAGCAUCUGCUGGCAUCAGCUACGAGCAGCAAGUCCUUCCAUUUAGUUAGUUGUCCUUAAGGUGGCUACUAAUGUAAAAUACUGAAAGACACCGAGGAGCCAUUGAGAAUUAAUACAGCACAUCCAAGAUGACAGAGCUCUAUUCCGCUUCCUGCACUCCUGCUGGGGAUGGUAGGAAGUGUAAUAAGGGGUUAAGAAGCUGAAAAUUCUGAACAGGUGUCACGACUUAGCGGAGGCUUGGUGGUGGCGUAAAACAUUGGAAAUUCGUAACAGAGCCUCCUCAGAGAGAAAAGAUCCACAUACGCCCACCACAUUUAUAUUUAGAUUUUACGUUCUAAGGAUGUGAAGCUUUUAGUCAGCUGAAGAAUGUCUCGAUUUUUAGCAAACAUUAACAAUCCAAGUGCAAAAAUACUAACUUCAGGAGUUUUGGACUAAGUGUGUUGUGAAUUUAGAAGUUCUUGGUGCCUAAAAGUUUGCUACACAGCUAUGUCUAGUGCAAAUGGGAAAAGUUUAAAUUGGAUUUCAGUCUUCAAGUGAUUUACAGGUCAGUGAACUUGAUAAUAUAUGCUGUAAGCAAAAAGGAGCAGUGGCCAUUAGGCACUCACUAACAUAGUAAGUAAAUGGUACUGUAGAAAGGAUAGUGAGUCAUAAGAAGUCUUAUUUUUCAUGCUCUGUUUGGAGUGGAGGAUGUUUUAACUUGAGUGAUACUGAGCCGUUGCCCAAAUGCUGUGUUGAAUCUAUUAUUUUCUUUUUUCAUUUAAAAAUGAACAAAGACUGAAAGCUUUUCUUAAAGCAUUUAUUUUAUUAAAGUACAAUAACUGAACUGUGGAUUACUUAGUUGUCAAUGAGACGAUUGCCCCUAGAAAGGGAACCUAGGAGAGGCUAAGCAACAGGGUGGAGGUAAUGCAAGGCUAAUAGAUCUAACAAGGAGAGAAUAAAAAAUGAGAAAAGAAAUGCAUGUGCAAUUCAGAAUGAGGAAAUGAGCACUAUAGUAAUCAGUACAGUACAGUGGAAGCUGUGACUGAAUUUGGAGUGUAUAAAUAGGCUGCUAUAAAAGGAAAACUGACUGGGUCUUAAAGAGCUGCUUCAUAACCCUACUAUCAUGUGAGAAGAAAACACCAUGUUGGAAUGUUGCUUACUUCUUCCAGAGAUGCUGCAAGAUCUCCCAAAUCAAUUGUCGGGACUUUUGCCUCACGAUACUGGGUAUAAUCUGUGCCCUGCACCUUGAUUUGGUAAUAUGGGAACUAUCGCUUUCAUUGCAGUUGUUUCCCCUUUUCAUGCUGAGUCUUCAAAUAGUUUUUUUGGGUGUUGAUCUUAGAUAAAAAAAAUUUCAAUAGACUGGAGCAGAUCACCAGCAUGUUUAGUGACAUCUGUAUCCUCUGACUCUGGAAAUAGCAUGCACGCAUCUGGAGCUCAUAUGCAACAGAGGGUGCAACGGGGAAGCUCCCCCUGUCUUUUUUAGACAUCAGGAGAAACUCAAGAGGUGAGUUCAAGCUGCUGAAACUUCUGUCUUCCUCUCCUGCCCUUACCAGGUCCUUGAUUUAAACCUGCACCCCAACACGUUCACAGAGAAGAGGUGGUGGUAAUUCAGGUUGGUUUUGUCAAACUGAUGCUCAGAAAUACAACUUCUCUGUUCCUUUAGACAUCUCUUCCUCGUUUGGCUUUGUAGGGCUGGAGUUCAUAGGGACGUUCAUAGGGAUGCUGCGAGCUGCUUAACUCUUCUACUGAAGAGCUGGAAACAACUGGUGUGCGAAAGAAGGUUUCUCCUGCCCCUUGUCUCUUCUCAGCCAUCUCUCUCCCCGCUCCCAGCACCAGGAGUAGCCUGUGGUGCAGCAGGAGGCACACAGAAGCUCCCUCCGCCUGAGCGUGGCUGCGGCCUGCACACUCGCCAUUACUGGAAGACAAUACUGGCGAACGUAGCAAGUAACUUCAGCUGCAACUUCUUGAGGGUCACUGCUGACUGGAAGCAUUUUUAAGGGGCUGCUUUGUGCUCUCCAGGAAUUCUUUGUAGGGACUCCAAAGGAACGGGCAGAACCAGCUCCAUCUCAUCUCUGAGGCAUCAUGGCAGACCCAGGCUCCAGCUCCCCCACCUUGGUAAAGCGGGAGCUCGGCAUGCACGAUGCCACUGCUUGUUGCCAGCGUUUUAACAAGUGGCCUCUCAAAAUUCGCGCUUGGGCUGUGACAAGCCCCCUGCAGUAGCAGGGCAUGUAUUUGUAGAUGUAAGUGGAGAAGGAGGCAAUGCUGCUUGGUCAACAAAUGCAUGUUAAAUGCUCUUUCUGGAAAUGUCUGUACUUCUACUCGUUAUUUGAGAGCAGAUGAAUGUGGCGCAAUGUUUUGAGGUAGGAAGAGAGGUGGAACGUCAUGCUUAAAUAUAUAUUUUAAUUCCUGCAACUCAAUGCAGCUUGCCACAUUUAAAAAAUGAGAUGUUGGUGUGGCGCUAGGGAUGAGGCUUUUCCGACAGGAACAAGGUAGCAGUAUGCUUGAAGGCUUGGAGCUGAUCACCUCCAGAGUGCCUUGUAGCUUGUAAUGUAGGUGUGAAUGCAUGCCGGAGUCAUUCCCCACUUCUCUCUUUCAGGAAUGCUGACAAAUAUCUUAAAAACCCAAGUCCAGAAGUUCCCUAUUAGUUGCAAGUCUUUUCUACUACGCUUUUUGCAGCCCGCCCUCCUUUUUUUCCUCUGCAUGAUGUCCCAGCCCCUCCUGCAGCUGUGGUACUUCUUUACCUGUAGGGCCUAUCUCAGGGAUUUUUGGAUUCGUUCCUCUUGGGAGGUUCCUCUCCUUCCACUUGGUGGGACAGAAGGAAGAGGAAAGCAGUUUUCAUUUGUCACCGCGGGGUGCAGCAGAGUCCUCCUGGGCUCCUCUGAUCUGCCCCUUCCUGUGUGAAAAUGGCUGUGAGGGCUCACUUCUCCAUCACCUGCCCCAAGUCCCACCAAGGGCCUGGGGGGGGGCAAGCGGGGGGGCGGGGAGGCUCUGCCUCCCUCCUCCCGCCUCCCUGUUCCACUGGGCUUCCCCAGGUUUGCCAGAGCGUGGAAGGCAGCCAGCCAAAACUGUCA